rnacentral:misc_RNA from 1 species
AACGUAGGACGUGAGCGUUAUCCGGAGCUACUGGGCAUAAAGCGCGGGCAGGCGGCUUGUCAAGUCUGAUGUGAAAGCUCCCGGCUUAACCGGGAGAGGCCAUUGGAAACUGAUGGGCUGGAGGGUAGUAGAGGUGUGUGGAAUUACGGGUGGAGUGGUGAAAUGCGUAGAGAUCCGGAGGAACACCAGAGGCGAAGGCGGCACACUGGGCUGCACCUGACGCUGAGCCGCGAAAGCCAGGGGAGCGAACGGG